UUGAAAUGGUGUGGCUGCAGGACUCUUGCUGCAAACAAUUUUACUGGAGAGUUCCCUGAUCUCACUAGUCUCACCAAGUUAAAAGAACUAAGGAUCAGUAGUAACUACUUCACAGGAAGGAUGCCUGAGUUUGGCAAUUUGAAACAGCUUCAGAAGUUGAUGAUUCUGAGGUUUGCUAUCAGUUUUCCUCUGGAAUAAAGGUACAAUUUUUUUCUUUUUGAGUACUUUAAUUGAGAUUAGUAUGGUAGAAACUUGUGUUAUAAAUUUUAUGGUUUCUUCUCAUAUCAACUGAAAGAAGAUUAAGAAAAAGUAGUUUGAAAGAGAAAA